rnacentral:rRNA from 1 species
AUACGUAGGGAGCGAGCGUUGUCCGGAAUUACUGGGCGUAAAGGGCGCGUAGGCGGAGAUUCAAGCGGAUUGUACAAUCCCGGGGCCCAACCCCGGCUCUGCAGUCCGAACUGGAUCUCUUGGAUAGUUCAGGGGCAGGCGGAAUUCCUGGUGUAGCGGUGGAAUGCGUAGAGAUCAGGAAGAACACCGAUGGCUAAGGCAGCCUGCUGGGGACUUAUCGACGCUGAGGCUCGAAAGUGCGGGUAGCAAACAGGAUUAGAUACCCUGGUAGUCCGCACCGUAAACGAUGCAUACUGGGUGUCCGGGGGUUCCCCCGGGUACCGUAGCCAACGCGUUAAGUAUGCCGCCUGGGGAGUACGUACGCAAGUAUGAAACUCAAAGGAAUUGACGAGC